rnacentral:rRNA from 1 species
UACGGAGGGGGCUAGCGUUGUUCGGAAUUACUGGGCGUAAAGCGCGCGUAGGCGGAUCUGCAAGUCGGGGGUGAAAUCCCGAGGCUCAACCUCGGAACUGCCUUCGAUACUGCGGGUCUCGAGUCCGGGAGAGGUGAGUGGAAUUCCGUAGUGUAGAGGUGAAAUUCGUAGAUAUUAGGAAGAACACCGAGGCGGAGGACG